UUCGGAUUGAAAUUUUAGUGACUGAGUGGCGGACGGGUGAGUAACGCGUGGGUAACCUGCCUCACACAGGGGGAUAACAGUUGGAAACGGCUGCUAAUACCGCAUAAGCGCACGGCAUCGCAUGAUGCAGUGUGAAAAACUCCGGUGGUGUGAGAUGGACCCGCGUCUGAUUAGCUAGUUGGCAGGGCAACGGCCUACCAAGGCGACGAUCAGUAGCCGACCUGAGAGGGUGACCGGCCACAUUGGGACUGAGACACGGCCCAAACUCC
rnacentral:rRNA from 1 species